rnacentral:rRNA from 1 species
UACAGAGGUGGCAAGCGUUGUUCGGAAUUACUGGGCGUAAAGGGCGCGUAGGCGGUUCGUUAAGUCCUGUGUGAAAUCCCCCGGCUCAACUGGGGAACUGCACAGGAAACUAGCGGGCUUGAGUUCGGGAGAGGGAAGCGGAAUUCCGGGUGUAGCGGUGGAAUGCGUAGAUAUCCGGAGGAACACCGGUGGCGAAGGCGGCUUCCUGGACCGACACUGACGCUGAGGAGCGAAAGCGUGGGUAGCAAACAGG